GAGCCACUGUGCCCAGCCACGUUCAGCAAACUUUUAAAUUUUUUGUAGAGACAGGGUCUCCCCAUGUUGCCCAGGCUGGUUUCAAACUCCUGGCCUCAAGCAAUCCUCCUGCCUCGGCCUCCAAAAAUGCUGGGAUUACAGGUGUGAGCCACCAUGACUGACCCUAUUGUUUCUAUGUGGGGAAAAAUAAAAACCUGUGGAAGGGUACCUAAGAAACUAACAACAGAGGUUAUCUAUUGGAACAGGCCAGUGGGAGAAUUAAGUAAAUGGGAGACAAGGGAGAAGAAACCUUUUGUUUUACUCUUUUUUAUACUCUUUGAUAAAUGUACAUAUUCUAUCACCCAGCAGUUCCAUACCCAUGUAAUUACCUUAUAAACAUACUUCCAUAUGUGCAAAACGACAUAUAUACAAGGAUAUUCUGUUGUGGCAUUAUUUGUAAGAGAAAAAGAAUGGGAACAACCUAGACACCCAUCAGCAAGAAACUGAUUAAAUAAAUCAUCCAUUUGAAGUAAAACGGUGCAUUUGUUACCAAGAAUGACGCAGUUCUCUGUGUUCUGAUAUGGAACGAUUUCCAAGUUGAAUGGAAAAAAGAAAGGUGCAGGACGGUGGGUACAUAAUGCUACCAUUUGUGUGGGAAGAAAAGUGAAACUAUAUGCAUAUCCGUUUGCAAAUGCAGUUAAUGUCUUCAGAACACAGAAUAAACUAAUAACAGUGGCUACCUCUGGGGAAGAGAACUGGGUAACUGGGAAACGGUGGUGGGGAGGGGUUAUUACCUUACACUGUACCUUUUAAUCAUGGGCAUCUUUUAGCUAUUCAAAACUUUAUAAAAUUUCUGAGGAGGAGGGUAGUGGAGGAGGAGGAGCAGGAAAAGUCAUCUGUACACAAAGCAUUUCACAUGUUAUGCUUUUUCCUGUGGCUUUUAACCUGAGUUUCCCCGGAAUUGCUCUUACAAAUUCCAACUUUGGAACAGACCCAAUUUCACUGGAGACCCAGGAUCGUCACAAAACCAGGAAGAUAAUUUUUAAAGACAAGAGCAAGCACUAGCUCUCU
rnacentral:lncRNA from 10 species